rnacentral:lncRNA from 10 species
CUUCCUUCUCCCUGUGGCAUUUUCCCCAUACCUCUGGACACCCUCCUGAAGGAUCCCUGUGGUGCCAGGCAUGAAUGGCCUGCUUGGGGACCCAAUGAGUUCCCAGGACCCUUCCUGCUGCUUCUUCUACCCUUGUAUUUUGCUUGGCUGUCUAAAUUGACUCAGCUCCAGAAAGAUUCUCGUUGGUCACUUUGAGACCAACUCACUGUGGUUCGUUAUAUGCUUGUGAAUUGGAAGAAGAGCAGUUCCCCAUUGAAGCAAGGAUGCUGGACUAUAAUUUAUAUCUUUAAUCUCUGUAACAAUUUAAUUGAAUAUUAAUUGAAUUUAAAUGCUGAUUUGUUUGUAGAAAACUUGAAACAGAAGCUUUGGAAAUUUCUUUUUUUAAAUCUAGGACCUCUGGGGUUGGAAAGUGAUGGGAAAGUGGUGG